CAGCCAUGCCGCGUGAGUGAAGAAGGCCUUCGGGUUGUAAAGCUCUUUCGGCUGGGAAGAAAUCGCACAGGCUAAUACUCUGUGUGGAUGACGGUACCAGCACAAGAAGCACCGGCUAACUACGUGCCAGCAGCCGCGGUAAUACGUAGGGUGCGAGCGUUAAUCGGAAUUACUGGGCGUAAAGCGUGCGCAGGCGGUUGUGCAAGACAGAUGUGAAAUCCCCGGGCUCAACCUGGGAACUGCAUUUGUGACUGCACGACUAGAGUACGGCAGAGGGGGGUAGAAUUCCACGUGUAGCAGUGAAAUGCGUAGAGAUGUGGAGGAAUACCGAUGGCGAAGGCAGCCCCCUGGGCCGAUACUGACGCUCAUGCACGAAAGCGUGGGGAGCAAACAGGAUUAGAUACCCUGGUAGUCCACGCCCUAAACGAUGUCAACUAGUUGUUGGUAGGGUUAAACCUAUUAGUAACGUACCUAACGCGUGAAGUUGACCGCCUGGGGAGUACGGUCGCAAGAUUAAAACUCAAAGAAUUUGAC
rnacentral:rRNA from 1 species